ACUGCUCAUUCAUCUUUUAGAAAGACUUCGCUCUCGCUUGGAACACAUUCUCGGAUGCCUGCCCCUGGACCUGGACUUCUUAGAAUUUACUUGCACACAAGAACUUGUAUUUUUAAAUGCUGUAUCCAGUCAAGUAAUGGUUUCCCCAGCCAUUUUGGAUGCACUGACAGAGCUACACAGUCUCAUCAUUUGGGAAAAAGACACAAGAGGGCAACAUACUGCAGUUGUGCACUUUGAGCAAGGAACAUCUGGGCGACAACAGAUGGUCAUAUCCCCAGACUACCUUUGCAAGCUUCUGGAACUUAAUUUGUCUGUUCCAUGUAGAGCUAAACUGUUGGGGAUGUCCAGACGUACAGUAUACUGACGCAUGGCUGAGUCUGAUCUCUCAGUACGGGCACUCUACAACCCUGUGACAGAUGAGGAGUUGGAUCAGUGUGUAAAUCCAGGCAGCCUAACUCUGGAUAUCGAAUGAUGAAGGCACUCCUGCAAGCUCGAGGAUCAUGAAUCUUGGAGCAGCCUCCUACAACCGCUGGCAUUCUUCCAUGAAUCUGUUGAGAAGUUUGGCUGUCGUCUCAGGAUUGAGCGGCUGUGGAGAGACCUGUGGGCAGCUGUAACGUGCAUCUACUAUGAUGUCCUCCACGACCUUGAAGAAGAGGGCGACCUCAGCAUUGCCAAUGAUACACACAUUUUCUGCUGCCACUUUGUGUUCCUCCCACACUUGCAAGACGACCUGCACAUGUUUCACAGUGGUUGGGACAACCAUCCGCUACAAACAGAGAGCCACAUGACCCCAAACCAACUGUGGGAGUCGCACACAUCACCAGAGAACACAGAGGUACAUCGAAUGUGAUUUGAAUUAAUCAUUUGGUUCACAUUUGAGGUAUUGACUAAGAGCACACAGAAUUUUAACAUGUGCCUGCUGUUACUGCGUGCAGUUAAAUAUGUUCUCUGUUUUUAUGGUGUGGACAUUCCUGACUGGGAAAACAGUGGACUUCCUUUGUGAUGACCUGUUCAGCGUUGUGGUUCCACACAGCGUGCCCACUGACUGAAAGACAUGGUCACUGUUCAGUUUUGUGAGCGGUUUGUGGAUCUCUGAGAAUCAGAAAGACUUCAGAUUUGAAUUUGCCUGUUCAUUUUUUUUGCAGGCAUUCAUUCCAUUCAGUAUCAUCAGUACUCAAAUAGUCCAUUUUAAACACACUUUUUUUGAGUGCAGAGAUUUAUUUUGUUGUUUUAAAGGACCAGAUUAAACUGCAAAACCAGCCUGUACAUUAAGAACCUUCAACUGUCUGACACUGAAAAUAAAACAAGUGUAAACCCAUCUUUUGAUAACUUGAAUAAUUUAACAUGUCAACAUUUUACUAAACUACUGUUAGAGUUUUUCAGAGUUAGACCUGAAAAGUUUACAUACACACAGAAAUGAUCACCCAGGAGAGACUGAAUUUCUUUAUCCUGCAGGAGAGGACGAACGAGAAGCUCCUUCAGAAAGAACUGUCGUCCGUCCUGAAGGACCCUGAGAAACAGAACCAGAUCAAUGACUGGAUGCUGAUAAAGACUAUUAAGAGGAAGAACUGGUCAUCUCCAAGGUGGGAAGGUCCAUUCCAGAUGCUACUGACCACCCCCACUGCCGUGAAAAUUGCAGAAAGGUCAUCUUGGGUGCAUCUAUUCCACUGUAAAAGACAAAGAUACCUGAAAGAUCCCGAGCAAGACAAGGGGAGCGACGUGUAACAGUGUCGGCUGAUGGCCUAUAGGCCCAGUAACAGCUGGAAGCGCAUCACAACAGAGACAGAGAGUGACCAGGAGUGAACAAAGACCAGAGGUUGAAGCAGGUGCCAAGGUCCUGAAGCAGAUGAGAAACCAGCUACAACUGAGGAGAAUCCUGUCCACGUAAUCCAGGAUUAGAAGCAGACGUACUACAGGCUUGAAAUAAGAGCACUGACAUGAUCAGACCAGGAGAAAAGAAGCAGACGAAACUGCAUCUUUGAGAACGGGAGACAAUCCUGUUCUAUCCCUGUGCACCUGUGUUUAAAGA